rnacentral:tRNA from 4 species
CGGGUGUGGUUCAACGGUAGAACCUCAGCCUUCCAAGCUGAUGACGCGGGUUCGACUCCCGUCACCC